rnacentral:rRNA from 1 species
CGCGUAGGCGGCGAUUUUAGUCAGGCGUGAAAGCCCUGGGCUCAACCUAGGAACUGCGUUUGAUACUGGAUCGCUUGAGUGUGGGAGAGGAUGGUGGAAUUCCCAGUGUAGAGGUGAAAUUCGUAGAUAUUGGGAAGAACACCGGUGGCGAAGGCGGCCAUCUGGACCACUACUGACGCUGAGGCGCGAAAGCGUGGGGAGCAAACA